CAGUAGCCGCGGUAAUACGUAGGUGGCAAGCGUUGCCCGGAUUUAUUGGGCGUAAAGCGAGCGCAGGCGGUCAAUUAAGUCUGAUGUGAAAGCCCCCGGCUCAACCGGGGAGGGUCAUUGGAAACUGGUUGACUUGAGUGCAGAAGAGGAGAGUGGAAUUCCAUGUGUAGCGGUGAAAUGCGUAGAUAUAUGGAGGAACACCGGUGGCGAAAGCGGCUCUCUGGUCUGUAACUGACGCUGAGGCUCGAAAGCGUGGGGAGCAAACAGGAUUAGAUACCCGCGUAGUCCCUGUCUCUUAUAC
rnacentral:rRNA from 1 species